GUGUCAGCAGCCGCGGUAAUACGAAGGGUGCUAGCGUUGUUCGGAAUUACUGGGCGUAAAGCGCGCGUAGGCGGCUUAGCAAGUCAGAGGUGAAAGCCCGGAGCUCAACUCCGGAAUUGCCUUUGAAACUGCUAAGCUAGAGUGUCGGAGGGGAUAGCGGAAUUCCUAAUGUAGAGGUGAAAUUCGUAGAUAUUAGGAGGAACACCGGUGGCGAAGGCGGCUAUCUGGACGACAACUGACGCUGAGGCGCGAAAGCGUGGGGAUCAAACAGGAUUAGAAACCCUCGUAGUCC
rnacentral:rRNA from 1 species